rnacentral:rRNA from 1 species
CAACCUACCUUAGUUACUGGGAUAGCCCGAGGAAACUCGGAUUAAUACCGGAUAUUCUUAUUUAAUCACAUGAUUUUUUAAGGAAAGGUCAGCCGAACUAAGAUGGGCUCGCGUUCUAUCAGCUAGUUGGUAGGGUAACGGCCUACCAAGGCUACGACGGAUAGCUGGUCUGAGAGGACGAUCAGCCACACUGGGACUGAGACACGGCCCAGACUCCUACGGGAGGCUGCAGCAGGGAAUAUUGUGCAAUGAACGAAAGUUUGACACAGCGACACCGCGUGUGGGAUGACGGAUCUAGGUUUGUAAACCACUUUCAGGAGGGAAGAAAAUGACGGUACCUCC